rnacentral:rRNA from 1 species
GAGUUUGAUCCUGGCUCAGGAUGAACGCUAGCGGGAGGCUUAAUACAUGCAAGUCGAGGGGUAGAAUUGUUUUCGGAUGAUUUGAGACCGGCGGACGGGUGAGUAACGCGUACACUACCUACCUUUUACUGAGGGAUAGCCUUUGGAAACGAAGAGUAAUACCUCAUGGUCCCUACGGGGUAAAGUUCAGGCGGUAAGAGAUGGGUGUGCGUACCAUUAGCUAGUUGGUAAGGUAACUGCUUACCAAGGCUACGAUGGUUAGGGGGCGUGAGAGCGUGAUCCCCCACACGGGUACUGAGACACGGACCCGACUCCUACGGGAGGCAGCAGUAAGGAAUAUUGGACAAUGGGGGCAACCCUGAUCCAGCCAUCCCGCGUGCAGGAUGACGGCCCUAUGGGUUGUAAACUGCUUUUAUCAGGGAAGAAUAGCAAUUAUUUAUGAUUGUAUGACGGUACCUGAGGAAUAAGCACCGGCUAACUCCGUGCCAGCAGCCGCGGUAAUACGGAGGGUGCAAGCGUUAUCCGGAAUCACUGGGUUUAAAGGGUGCGUAGGCCGCUAUGUUAAGUCA